rnacentral:lncRNA from 1 species
GCCCCGGCCGUCGAAGAGUCCAAGGAAGAAGCCCCAGCCGUAGCACCAGAGGAGGCCGCCCCAGAAGCACCACCAGUAGAGCCCGAGGAGAAGAAGCCUGUCGAAGAGCCUGCGGUCGAGGCACCAGCCGAGACUGAACCAGUGGCUACGGAGCCGAAAGAAGAACCCAAGCCAAAGGCAGAACCGGAGGCCCCAGCUCCCGAGCCCGAGAAGCCUGCCGAACCGGUCGUCGAAGAGCCGACCAUGGAGGAGCCCAAGGCUGUCGAAGAGGCAGCACCGCCAGCGGUGGAGGAGGUGAAGGCUGAGGAGACGGAGGAGAAGACCGCGGUCUCGG